UGGAGGAAGACACCACCGACCUUUGGACAGCCGUGACCUUCAUCGUCCUCUUCCUCCUCAGCCUCUGUUACAGCACCGGCGUCACCCUCUUCAAGGUCCUGUGACCGCCGCAGACGGGAGAAGACCCUCGUCCUUGGGUUGUCCUCUCUCUUUCCCCCAUGGCCGAGCGCUGCCCGGCGUCGUUUUGUGGCUUUUUUGAAGAUUCAAGGAAUAAAAUGAACUUCAGCCCGUUUCCAUCAGCCGGAAAAAAAAACAUUUUCCAAUGAAAUCAGCUCAUUUUCGUUGGGGCAUCACACCCCAAUCCCCAUCAAGCUGCAAAAAAACCCCAUUUUCCAAUGAAAUCAGCCUGUUUUCGUUGGGGCAUCACACCCCAAUCCCCAUCAAGUUACAAAACCCCCCAUUUUCUCCUGAAAUCAGCCUGUUUUGUGUUGGUGUAUCACCCUGAUUCCCAUCAAACUACAAAAAAACCCCAUUUUUGCCAGAAAUGAGCCCAUUUUGCGUUGGUGCAUCACCCCUAAAUUCCCAUCAAGCUUCAAAAAACCUAAUUUAUCCCCAUUUUUGCCCCCCAAUUGUUCACCUCCACACGGCGACUACGUGCCAGAGGACCCAAAAUUUCACCUUUUACCCCAACCUCCACCCCCAAAAAUUCUGUUUACUGUAAAAACUCGUUUCAUUUCUCCUCUCUCUUUUCAGUUAGGGGUUUUUUGGGGGCGAGCUGAGUCAUUUUUGGAGCAGACGCCGGUUAAAAUAAGAGGGGGACGGGCGCCGCUUCCCCCCAACAUCGUGCCCAAGCUCGACCGCGAACAUCUGGAUCUGGGGGGGGGGGGAACCAGAUGUGUCCUGUUUACCGAAGCCACUUUUCUCCAUCUGAGUCAUCACCAGGAGAGGAAAAAACAUGGGCAGGGUAAAAAUAGAACUACGAGCCAAACCUUAAAUAGUUGUUUCCGUCCCAAAAUGCCCUGCUCCUUUCCCGUGAGAAAAAAAAUGAGGUGGAAAUGAGGAAAAAUGGUGGUUUAUGGGAGAUUUUCCCCCCCCCGCCACGUGGAAAUGAGGAAUUUGGUAAUAAAGUUGGGUGUUGAGCUCUU